rnacentral:rRNA from 1 species
ACGAGUGGCGGACGGGUGAGUAAUGUCUGGGAAACUGCCCGAUGGAGGGGGAUAACUACUGGAAACGGUAGCUAAUACCGCAUAACGUCGCAAGACCAAAGAGGGGGACCUUCGGGCCUCUUGCCAUCGGAUGUGCCCAGAUGGGAUUAGCUAGUAGGUGGGGUAACGGCUCACCUAGGCGACGACCCCUAGCUGGUCUGAGAGGAUGACCAGCCACACUGGAACUGAGACACGGUCCAG